UUAUAAAGGAGGGGUGAGCUUUAGAUUCAUAUGAAAAAAUAUAAAAAACUAACUGCGUUAUAAAGGAAUUUGCAAACCUCCCAAGUUUGUUCCCUGCGAAUGUGGUUUUAAUCCAGAGCAACGAAUUCUGCAGACUCACGUCGUAGGGCCAUUCCUAAUCACACACUGCUCCCUCCCCACACCCGUCCUGGCAGCAGAGCGGGGGGUGGGGGGGGGGUGGUUGGCACGUCCCAGAGCGGCAGCUGCAGCCGAUUAUGGUUCAGCUGAGGGCUGUGUCUUCUUUUCCAUCCGCCUCCUCCCUUUCAAAAUCCGUCAGCGGACACUCAUGGAAGCAGACCCAGAAGCUCUGGCCAAGGCUUGGGCUCGGGAAAUGCACUUUCCCCUCCUUCUUUUCAGGACAGAGAAGGCCAAGAAGGCCAUAAAGAGGGGCCAACGGGCGGCAAGAAGCCUCUUGAGGUUUCCUGUGUGUCCCCGUCCGUCCAUCAGCUGGUGCUGACUUCAGGGACCGCCCGCGACUGUUAUCAUCCCAGAAAAUCGUCCAGGAGACCCUGUGCAAGGACAGCUUCCCCCAGGGACAGAAAGGACAAGCAAGAAAGCUUGGUCUGCACCUCUGCAGUCGUAAACGCGCUGUUUCAAGAAAACCUGACACACUCACCUAAUUUAAAAAAAAAAUCAAAACGAAGUAUUUAAUUCCCUCAGUAUUUCAAAAUACUCAGCAAAACCAUCUCCUCUUUGACCCUGUGUCAGAUUAUUUUUUAAAGUACUGAUGAAGCACAGAUGCUGGUGACUUUCAUUCAAUCCCAGGCAGGAGGACGCGCCGCCAGCCACAGCCGCCAGCUCGGGCAGGACCUCAGGGCCAUGUCACGAGCACAGUCCCCAGGUUGACUCUGUGGCGGUCCUCUUCCGUUCCCCAAAUGAUGCCCUGCAUCCCUCAGUGUCUGUGGAAACAGGAGCUCACGGCAUCUGUUUGGGCCAAUUCUGGGCUGACGUGGGCAAAGGAAACAGUCAACGCACCUGUUGUCGGCUUCCAUUGAAAUCCACAGCCCACCAGGGAAUGACAGGGUCGCUGGGCCGGGUAUCAUGCCCAGGGCCCCAGGCCUGAGAAAGUGGGUCCUUGGGCACCCACAGGAAAGAAUUCAAGCGAAAGCCACAGAAUAAAGCACAAAACAGUUUUAUUAAGCA
rnacentral:lncRNA from 1 species